CUGCAUGUCACGUGACAGCUAGAUGACAUAACAUAACCCAGAAUGGAAAGUCACAACGGCGGCCUGGAUCCAUGAUCAGGCUACACAGCACCGCCAAGGCUUGACGGAGACAUGUAUAGGAUAGAUAAUUAAGUCGGAGUAAAAGAAAGUGAAGGAAGAGAAAAAAUGGAAAGAGAAGUGAAAGAAAGUAUCAGUGAGAGACUUUCUUGUUUAGAUGAUCUCUACUUUCCUCGCGCUCUUCAAUCCAACGCCACUACCCCCUCUCAACGCAAGUCUAUUCUCCUCGACCUCCUCUCCCGGGACGCCGCCGUUUUCCUAGAAAGAUAUGGAUCGCAGUUGACUUGUGAUGAGCUUGGCAAGUUUGAUGCACUCAACAAUGACUAUGAGAUUAAUUGGCACUUAAAAAAUCUUAGGAGCAAGAUGAACCCUACUUCAGAAGAGUUGCGGUCUAGGUCGGUGACUGUGAAGAACAGGAGGCUAGCAUAUCUUAAUCAAUUAGUACGGGAUGGUCAGUACUUUUCAGAGGAUGCAAUGAGGGAGAGGGAGCCGUAUUUGCAUCAUGAGUAUGUGGGGAAGUUUCAGGAUUUGACUGGGAGGAAUAUGGCGAGGCCAGGGGAGAGGUGGUCAGAGACUUUAAUCAGGCGAUCUGAGGAAGCAAUUUUGGUGGCAAAGAUUAGGGAGGAGCAGCAGAGGUUAGGUGUGGCUGAGAGUGAUUGGAUUGGGAAUGAAAGAAACCAAGAAGAAGAAGAAGAAGAAGAAGAAGAAGAGGAAGAAGAGGAAGAAGAGGAAGAGGAGGAAGAGGAAAAGAAAGAGAAAGAUGCUGAGAAAAAAUCUAACGGGGCUAUGCACGACACAGAGAUGCUCGUAGAUGAUUCUGAAGCACACAGUGGUAGGAAAACCAUGGAAGAAACUGAAGAUAUGAUGGGCCAGUUCACUUACAUUAUGCAGCAGAAGUUUCUUUCAGGUGAAGAUCAUCAGCAUUUUGAUUACUCAAAAAUAGAUAACGAUGAGACCUUGGAUGAUCACUGGCUCAGGGAAGUUAGCCAGGAUGCUGAGGAGAAGUAUUUUGCUGAAGAUUGAGAAGAAUGACUGUUGCAUUUGUUGUUUUUUGUUUUUAACUGAUCAUGUAUUUCCUGUUAACAUUAAAAAUGGACUUCCUCAAUCCUCUGAAGAUGGGAAUAAAUGUCUUGCCUAGUGGUUGUGGUUCUGUGUAUUAUGUUUGAAGGAGAAACUCACCAGGGAAAAGGAGAAAAUAAAAAGUUCAAAACAAGUAGGACUAAAGCAGACAGAUUGAAGGGAGUAGAAAUUUGUGCAAAUCAGAAUCCAACAAAUCAACAGAAAGCUAGAUGCUACAAGAUCACGUGUUGAUGAGAAGGCUAUGAUCACAAGCUAGUUAAAGCUGAUCCAAUCCGGCCACCAACUGCCACCUCAGCACUGGUCAAGGUGAACAUUUUUAUUCCAUUUGUGAUGCAUAUGUUGAAAAUUUUGAGCAAUUACAUUUUAGACUAAAGUGGGGAAGGAAACUCAUGUAACUGUUGGAUGUAGUUUAUUCAUGAAAAGCAAGACACUGUAGUUCAAAAAGUAGCUCACAUGGAUGCAUAUGGUUCUUAAAGAUAGUGAGGUGUGUAAAAAAUUUAGGCAAAUUCGUCAACUAUGGUGAUUUGCAGGAUAAUGUUUGUGGGUAAAUGAGAUGCUGUGGUUGGGGGUUAUGUUGAAGUGAUUUGGAAAUGCAAAUUCUGACCAAAACUCCACAGAAUGUCAUCCUGUUGCUCUGCCCUAGUGGAAGAAUGAAUUUUCGCAAAAAGAAUGAAAUAGAAAGGGUUUAGGGUUCCGUCUGAGGAUGAAAUAUGCCAUUCCUUUUGUUUUGAAAACUUUACUUCAUCAUAGCAGAUUAUCUUUAUUCAAGUCUAUGCCAGAUCAGCAUGACCAAGUAGCAGAAAAGGUAGAGAUUCCUUUUGUAGUCCAUUCACACUUGAUCAACUUUUGUGUUGUUGCAAGGACACGUUAUCGAAAUCUUUUCGCCUGUGUCAGGGUAGUUUGACACACUUCCAGUAGUGCUUGAAUGUUCACCCUAUGAAAAUUUCAGCAUAGUUAUUUUAUGUGUAGAAAAUUUCCCUGCUAUUUCAAGCAAUUGUUCUAUAUAUUUCACAAAUUCUUGUCGAGACUUCAA